GCGCAAGCGAAUUAAGGGCGCAUGGGGGAUACCUAGGCUCUCAGAGGCGAUGAAGGACGUGAUAAGCUGCGAAAAGCUAUGGGGAGCAGCACAUAUGCAUUGAUCCAUAGAUAUCCGAAUGGGGCAACCCAAUCAGGUGAAGCCUGAUUACCCUACGGGGG
rnacentral:rRNA from 1 species